AGUGGCGCACGGGUGAGUAACGCGUAUGCAACCUACCUGUAACAGAGGGAUAGCCCAUAGAAAUGUGGAUUAAUACCUCAUAGUCCUGGGAAGUCGCAUGGCUUUUCAGGUAAAACUCCGGUGGUUACAGAUGGGCAUGCGUGACAUUAGCUAGUUGGUGAGGUAACGGCUCACCAAGGCAACGAUGUCUAGGGGUUCUGAGAGGAUGAUCCCCCACACUGGUACUGAGACACGGACCAGACUCCUACGGGAGGCAGCAGUGAGGAAUAUUGGUCAAUGGGCGCAAGCCUGAACCAGCCAUCCCGCGUGCAGGAUGACGGCCCUAUGGGUUGUAAACUGCUUUUAUACAGGAAGAAAAAUCUCUACGAGUAGGGACUUGCCGGUACUGUAUGAAUAAGCAUCGGCUAACUCCGUGCCAGCAGCCGCGGUAAUACGGAGGAUGCAAGCGUUAUCCGGAUUCAUUGGGUUUAAAGGGUGCGUAGGCGGCUUUUUAAGUCAGUGGUGAAAUCCUGUCGCUCAACGAUAGAAUUGCCAUUGAUACUGAAAAGCUUGAGUUCAGUUGAGGUAAGCGGAAUGUGUAGUGUAGCGGUGAAAUGCUUAGAUAUUGCACAGAACACCGAUUGCGAAGGCAGCUUACUAAACUGACACUGACGCUGAUGCACGAAAGCGUGGGGAUCGAACAGGAUUAGAUACCCUGGUAGUCCACGCC
rnacentral:rRNA from 1 species